GACGAACGCUGGCGGCGUGCCUAAUACAUGCAAGUCGAGCGGACUUUCCGGAGUUCUUGCCCUCCGGAUGGUUAGCGGCGGGCGGGUGAGUCACACGUAGGCAACCUGCCCAUAAGACCGGUAUAACAUUCGGAAAAGAAUGUUAAUACCAGAUAGUCGCACUUCUCGCUUGACGGGAUCUGGAAAGGCUGGUCAAUAUGCCGCUAGUGGAUGGAGCUGCGGAGCAUUAGCUAGUUGGUGGGGUAACGGCCUCCCAAGGUGGCGAUGCGUAGGCCAUCGGAGAGGGUGAAUGGACAGACGGGGAGUGAGACAGGGCACAGACACUGGCAGGAGGCAGCGGUCGGGAAUCUUACGCAAUGGAGGAAAGUGUAACGGUGCAACGUCGCGGGAGGGAUGAAGGACUACGGGUCGGUAAGCUCUGUUGCCAGGGGAGAAGGAGAGGGGUAGUAACCGCGAUGGUCAUGACGGUACCGGAGAAAUAAGCCCCGGCUAACUACGUG
rnacentral:rRNA from 1 species